GACGAACGCUGGCGGCGUGCCUAAUACAUGCAAGUCGAGCGGACAGAAGGGAGCUUGCUCCCGGAAGUUAGCGGCGGACGGGUGAGUAACACGUGGGCAACCUACCCUGUAGAUCGGGAUAACAUCGAGAAAUCGGUGCUAAUACCGGAUAAUCAUUUGAAGUGCAUGCUUCGAAUGUAAAAGAUGGCUCCGGCUAUCACUACGGGAUGGGCCCGCGGCGCAUUAGCUAGUUGGUAAGGUAAUGGCUUACCAAGGCAACGAUGCGUAGCCGACCUGGGAGGGUGAUCGGCCACACUGGGACUGAGACACGGCCCAGACUCCUACGGGAGGCAGCAGUAGGGAAUCUUCCGCAAUGGGCGAAAGUCUGACGGAGCAACGCCGCGUGAGUGAUGAAGGUUUUCGGAUCGUAAUGCUCUGUUGUUAGGGAAGAACAAGUGCCGUUUGAAUAAGGCGGCACCUUGACGGUACCUAACCAGAAAGCCACGGCUAACUACGUGCCAGCCGCCGCGGUAAAAC
rnacentral:rRNA from 1 species